rnacentral:rRNA from 1 species
ACUCCUGCGGGAGGCAGCAGUGGGGAAUUUUGGACAAUGGGCGAAAGCCUGAUCCAGCAAUGCCGCGUGAGUGAAGAAGGCCUUCGGGUUGUAAAGCUCUUUUGUCAGGGAAGAAACGGUGAGAGCUAAUAUCUCUUGCUAAUGACGGUACCUGAAGAAUAAGCACCGGCUAACUACGUGCCAGCAGCCGCGGUAAUACGUAGGGUGCAAGCGUUAAUCGGAAUUACUGGGCGUAAAGCGUGCGCAGGCGGUUUUGUAAGUCUGAUGUGAAAUCCCCGGGCUCAACCUGGGAAUUGCAUUGGAGACUGCAAGGCUAGAAUCUGGCAGAGGGGGGUAGAAUUCCACGUGUAGUAGUGAAAUGCGUAGAUAUGUGGAGGAACACCGAUGGCGAAGGCAGCCCCCUGGGUCAAGAUUGACGCUCAUGCACGAAAGCGUGGGGAGCAAACAGGAUUAGAAACCCUUGUAGUCCCAUG